UACAGAGGUCCCAAGCGUUGUUCGGAUUCAUUGGGCGUAAAGGGUGUGUAGGUGGCGCCGUAAGUCGGGUGUGAAAUUUCGGAGCUUAACUCCGAAACUGCAUUCGAUACUGCGGUGCUUGAGGACUGGAGAGGAGACUGGAAUUCAUGGUGUAGCAGUGAAAUGCGUAGAGAUCAUGAGGAAGACCAGUGGCGAAGGCGGGUCUCUGGACAGUCCCUGACACUGAGACACGAAGGCCAGGGGAGCAAACGGG
rnacentral:rRNA from 1 species